UCGAGAUAGAGAAACAAACAUGCCCAAGGACACGAAGGACUUGAUCCUUAGUGCACGUGUCGGAGUAGGAUAGGCUAUGUGAUCUUUUGUGUUUGGUUUUGCGGGAAAAAAAAUCAUUCGCGACCUUUGCCGAGAAAAAAAAUCAGAGCUCGAAACGAAAAGGCGAUUUACGAUCCAUCGAAGAUCGUUUUCUUCCGUGAUCUUAAAGGUAGCCGAACGAUGGGACAAGACUAUAGCUACACUCAGCCUUCAUCAUCAGAGGAGUUUGACAUGACCUCUUUACUUUAAGAAGAAGCUGAUCUCUACGCGGAUGAAGCUGAUCUUAUUGAUUAAAAAAACAAAAACUUACACAUAAUUUGAUCUUGUAAAUACAAAAAAAUAAAACUUAUACAUAAUUUUAUAGUAUUAAAAAAAGAAAUUAUAGGUAA